rnacentral:rRNA from 1 species
AGAGUUUGAUCCUGGCUCAGAGCGAACGCUGGCGGCGUGCUUAACACAUGCAAGUCGAGUGCGCGCCUGUAGCAAUACAGGUGGCGCACGGCGCACGGGUGCGUAACACGUGGGUAAUCUGCCCUUCGAUGGGGAAUAACUCCGGGAAACCGAAGCUAAUUCCGCAUAACAUUCCUUGAACUUCGGUUUGGGGACUCAAAGCCGUAAGGCGUCGGAGGAGGAACCCGCGCACGAUUAGCUAGUUGGUAGGGUAACGGCCUACCAAGGCUUUGAUCGUUAGCUGGUCUGAGAGGAUGGCCAGCCACACUGGAACUGAGACACGGUCCAGACUCCUACGGGAGGCAGCAGUGGGGAAUCUUGCACAAUGGGCGAAAGCCUGAUGCAGCGACGCCGCGUGGGGGAUGAAGCUUUUCGGAGUGUAAACCCCUUUCGACCCGGACGAAUGCCCCGCAAGGGGACUGACGGUACGGGUAUAAGAAGCCCCGGCUAACUACGUGCCAGCAGCCGCGGUAAGACGUGGGGGGCCAGCGUUGCUCGGAAUUACUGGGUGUAAAGGGUUCGUAGGCGGUGUAGCAAGUCGGGAGUGAAAUCUCUGGGCUCAACCCAGAGACUGCUUCCGAAACUGCUGUGCUUGAGUGUGGGAGAGGCGCGUGGAAUUGCAGGUGUAGCGGUGAAAUGCGUAGAUAUCUGCAGGAACACCCGUGGCGAAAGCGGCGCGCUGGACCACUACUGACGCUGAGGAACGAAAGCUAGGGGAGCAAACAGGAUUAGAUACCCUGGUAGUCCUAGCCCUAAACGAUCAGGACUUGGGGUGCCGCACGUUCGUG